AUUGAACGCUGGCGGCAGGCCUAACACAUGCAAGUCGAACGAGUGGCGGACGGGUGAGUCAUGUCUGGGAAACUGCCCGAUGGAUGGGGAUAACUACUGGAAACGGUAUCUAAUACCGCCUACCAUCGGAUGUGCCCAGAUGGGAUUAGCUAGAUGGUGGGGUAACGGCGUACCUAGGCGACACUCCCUAGAUGGUCUGAGCGGAUGACCAGCCACACUGGAACGGAGACACGGUCCAUACUCCGACGGGAGGCAGCAGUGUGGAAUAUUGCACAAUGGGCGCAAGCUGGAUGCAGCCAUGCAGCGUGUAUGAAGAAGGCCUGAGGGUUGUAAAGUACUUUCAGCGGGGAGGCGUUACCCGCAGAAGAAGCACCGGCUAACUCCGUGCCAGCAGCCGCGGUAAUAC
rnacentral:rRNA from 1 species